GUCCGCAUGAUUAAAGGUAUUUUCCGGUAGACGAUGGGGAUGCGUUCCAUUAGAUAGUAGGCGGGGUAACGGCCCACCUAGUCAACGAUGGAUAGGGGUUCUGAGAGGAAGGUCCCCCACAUUGGAACUGAGACACGGUCCAAACUCCUACGGGAGGCAGCAGUGAGGAAUAUUGGUCAAUGGGCGAUGGCCUGAACCAGCCAAGUAGCGUGAAGGAUGACUGCCCUAUGGGUUGUAAACUUCUUUUAUAAAGGAAUAAAGUCGGGUAUGCAUACCCGUUUGCAUGUACUUUAUGAAUAAGGAUCGGCUAACUCCGUGCCAGCAGCCGCGGUAAUACGGAGGAUCCGAGCGUUAUCCGGAUUUAUUGGGUUUAAAGGGAGCGUAGAUGGAUGUUUAAGUCAGUUGUGAAAGUUUGCGGCCCAACCGUAAAAUUGCAGUUGAUACUGGAUGUCUUGAGUGCAGUUGAGGCAGGCGGAAUUCGUGGUGUAGCGGUGAAAUGCUUAGAUAUCACGA
rnacentral:rRNA from 1 species